AAAAACUCUUUCCGGGAAAUUUCUUGGGAGCAAAGAGUUAGAAAGUAACGGAAAAUUAAAAAAUUUUCUGUCUAAAAGGGUAAUUUUAAGUAAAAAUGCAUUCGCUGAACCUUAAGGUUUUGACUGAUUUGAAUGCUGGAAAUGGGAGGAACUGCUUUCCGGGCAAGCUGGUUAUGGAUUGGCGACGGAUCUAGACUUUGGGAGGAGGAGAAGGGAUGGGUGGGGUUGUUGGUAUGGUGGCGCUGCUGGUGGUCGGGAGUGUAGGAUAGUGGCGUGUGCGGUGGAGAGGAUCGGGAAUGGCGGGAAUGGUGGUGGAGGGGAGAGUCCGAGUUUGAAUCCUAGUCCAACUCAGAGCCAAACUUAUGCAAUGUUGAAACAACAAAUGGACAUUGCUGCUAAAUCUGAGGAUUAUAAAGAAGCAGCGAUAAUACAUGAUUCUUUGAAAAUGUUUGAGGAAGAGGAGCCUGUUUUGCUUAGGAGGUUGAUUAAAGAGGCUGUUGCUAAUGAAAGAUUUGAGGAUGCAGCUAGAUAUCGUGAUGAGUUGAAGGAAAUUGCACCUCAUUCUCUCCUGAAGUGUUCAAGUGAUGCAACAACCUUGGGAAUCAGAGUUCAGGUUAUGAGUGUGUACAUAGAGGGGUGUAAUAUGCCUUCAAGGGGACUGUACUUUUUUGCAUAUAGAAUAAGAAUAAGCAAUAACUCAGAUAAUCCUGUUCAGCUUCUCAGAAGGCAUUGAUUUAUCACAGAUGGCAAUGGGAAAACUGAAAAUGUUUGGGUUACUGGAGUUAUGGGCGAACGGCCAGUUAUUCUUCCCAGAACAGGUUUCGAAUACUCAUCUGCUUGCCCAUUAAGUACAUCCAGUGGCAGAAUGGAAGGAGACUUUAAGAUGAAACACAUUGACAGAGUAGGCUCACCGAGUUUCAAGUUAGCCAUCGCCCCAUUUUCUCUCUCCACCCUGGGGGAUGAUGUUGAUAUCUUCUGAAAUCUGAAACGAAAUUGUCACCUUGGAGAAGCACAGUAUCCUUGUCAAUAAAUAGAAUCAGGUUAUUUUUACAAUUGAAGCUUGGCUUUGUAAAGCAUGUUCUUUUGUGAUCCAAAUGUACAGAUCUUCCAAUGUAAGAGCAUAUAUAUAAAUAUAUAUUUCUGUUAAUAUUAUAGUCCAUUGUGUUUUUUGAGACAAACUAAUGAAAUAUGUAUUUAAGCAAACUUUAAAUAACAUAGAUUUUGAUAGGGGAUUAGACAUGAAUGCUUUACGUAUAAAAAUUUCCCUUUUGAAUGAAUGAAAAUCCCUAUGGCGUGAGUUGGGUUCCUCCAUGCAUUGCCUAGCUUGCUUGCAUAUAUUUUGAGGAACUUAGUUGUUAACUGUUGCUAUUAUUUUCUGGAGAUUUAAUUACAGGUUAAGUAAAUUCCAAAUAUGCAUGUACUGAAGUAAAAGAUUUCAUGAUCUUUCAAUGAAUUCCUGUUAACAAAAUGUUGUUGCAGGUUCCUAG